rnacentral:rRNA from 1 species
AGCGAACGCUGGCGGCAGGCUUAACACAUGCAAGUCGAGCGGGCGUAGCAAUACGUCAGCGGCAGACGGGUGAGUAACGCGUGGGAACAUACCUUUUGGUUCGGAACAACACAGGGAAACUUGCGCUAAUACCGGAUAAGCCCUUACGGGGAAAGAUUUAUCGCCGAAGGAUUGGCCCGCGUCUGAUUAGCUAGUUGGUGAGGUAAUGGCUCACCAAGGCGACGAUCAGUAGCUGGUCUGAGAGGAUGAUCAGCCACAUUGGGACUGAGACACGGCCCAAACUCCUACGGGAGGCAGCAGUGGGGAAUAUUGGACAAUGGGGGCAACCCUGAUCCAGCCAUGCCGCGUGAGUGAUGAAGGCCCUAGGGUUGUAAAGCUCUUUUGUGCGGGAAGAUAAUGACGGUACCGCAAGAAUAAGCCCCGGCUAACUACGUGCCAGCCGCCGCCGUAACAC